AUCCAGGUCAUUAGGAAAAAUUGCUGUGGGAAGAACCAUCACAAGAGUUAUUGGCAUUCAGUUUCCUUUCCUUUGCAAGUACCUCCUGUGCAAAAGUUGACAUAUGUUCUGAAAAAAGAAAUGUAGCUCUAAAAAAAUUGUAAUUCCCUGUGGUGGACCAGGCAAUGUGGAUAAAACGCUGAAAAAUUGCACGAGACUAAGCCAACAAAGAGAAAAGUGAUUACAAUAUAAGAGAAGAUGCCACAGCUAUUAAGGAAGUGUUUGCACCCAUAUUGACUAUUCAUUGAUCUUGAGGCAAAAAUUUAAGCAUCCUUUACCUUUAGGUAAACAUCUGAUGAAGGUUUAUGGGCUUUCAGGAAGAUAGCAUUAGCAGCUCAAACCAAGAUUAUCUAGAAUGUAAGGGACAAGAACUCUCCAUUGGAAGACAUACAAUUCCUCAAUUUAACUCUUGAAUUAAAUAAAAUCAGAACCAUUUCAA